UUACAUGGAGAUAUUUUUUUUGAGCGAUCAUGAGAUAAAAACUUCAAACUUGCUGUUGCUUGUGGAUGGAGGACCAAGUCACUUCUCUGAGGAGUUUGUGUUGAGGUGUGAUGGCAGAGAUGAAUCAUGAAUGGGUAGCACCAUAACAGAUUUGGAUACUGUUUUCAGACAGAAAUGAAGUUCUUUUAUUCGCUUCCUAUUUUGUGUUUUGUUAACGCCUCCUUUUGCCAGUGGGACAGCUCCCCACUUCUUUUUUGGUUGGCUGCAGGCUGUAGCUUGAUCUUACUAUCAGAGUGGGGAAAGGUGUCUACUUGCUUUUGCUGCCAAGAUGCUACGAGUGAUAUCCCUGUAGACAGCAGCACAGAGCCGGGUACAGCAGCAUCUACAAACAUCUGAGUCAGAUGUUCAAUUUAUACUUGAGAGUUGUGAAAAUGAGGACUGAGCAUUACAGAGAAUUUAAAGGUGAAUCAGACACAUACCAGUCCUCUUUAUGUAGACCAGCAAGACAGAGCCAGUUCUGUGAAUGAUAAUAAAAUAUAAAGCAGCAAGCAAUAGCCAUCAUAAGGGUGAUGCUGUGUCUUCUGUUUGUUGAAUGCAAUUGAAACCGCAGCCUGCAACUGAGCUACUGUGGAAGAAAGAAGUCUGAAGCAAGUGAUUCUCAGUCCUUGGUGUACAUUAGAAUCAUCUUGGGAGCUUUGCAGAUGCACAAUGUCCAGGUCCUUCCCAAGAGUUUCUGGAUUAUUAGUAUGUGAUGAGGCAGGUUUUACUAUGUCACAGCAUCUCUCCACAUGAUCCCAAUGUACAGGCACUACUAAGAGUCACCUACACAUUGGUUCUUUGACUGUGGAAUGUACCAGAAGCACCUGGAGAGCAUGAGGAAAUGCAGAUUCUGGAGGCUCACUUCCAAAGAUGGUGAAGAAAGAAAUGUGAGGUCUAGGCUGUAAAUUUGCUUUCUAAAUUAAGUAAAUAAUCAAAAUUAGUUUUGAUUUGGAAUAUUGCUAAGGAAUAGAACACUUUGGAGACCAACAUAUUGCUUUCAAAACACCCAUCACAGGCUGUCAGGCUGUUUUCCUCACUGUGAGACAGAAUGCUGCCUUUUUAGCUACAUCUUGAUUGUUGUGUAUCUGCAGGUGAUGUCUGAAACGUCUUUAAACACUGGAGUCAUACCUGGUUCACUCCGCAUGUAUCCUUUGAGUGGGAUAAACCUACAUAAUUUAAGAAGAUCUCUUUUUUGUUCAGAUUGUCACUCUUUUUGUCUUUUGGUUUUUGGUCUAAAUUUUCUUAUGCUUGGUGAGUGUUUGAUCACGCAAGACCCUGACUUACAAUGUGAAGUGUGGUAAAAUGUGAAAACAGCACAGGCUACCCUAACUAUGAAAAAUUUCGGCAAACUUCAAGAUGACUGAAAAUCAUGGGAUGAAAUUUACCAGACUUUGGCAAUGUCUAAUGAUGAGAGAUGAACUGUAAAAGUAAAAGCAUAUAACAAGUUUCACAAUAAGUAAAUAUAAAGUAAGAUAUAUGCAUUUGUGAAAGAUUAAUGAACUUCUCUUUGAGGGCUCUGAAAUGAAAACCCAGACAGAAUAAUCAUAUUUUUCCAGACUCUUGCCUUAGUCAUCAUAAACACACUACAGUGAACCAGACACAUGGAGACCAUCUAGAUGCCCAGGAGUGAAUUUGCUGGCUUUAUCACACUUAAGUCCUCAUCCCUCUGAAAGGGCCUGUGGCUCCCAACAGCCACUUUUCCAUUUGCAUUCUUUGUCUUUAAACACAGAUACAAACUCCAGCCAUCCAAAGAUACCAGUCUUCCUAGAAAUAUUUGACAAGAGCAAAGCAGACUCUGUCCAGUGCUGAUUCCGUAACCAGUAACUCCCAGUUUACACAGCCCGCAUGCCGUGUGGCUCUGUCUGAGACUAAGAAUGACCAAGAAACAGCUCAUUUUCCCGUUUUUAUUGUUGGCUUACUUUGGAGUGUUAAUCAGUUUCUGUUCACUUGGUCACUCACUUGCUGGUCACCCCUAACAUUAAGCACCUGGUGUGAGAAGAAGGGAGGCCUGUACAACAUAUAUCUACACUCAUAAAGAUGCCAACUUGAGCUAACGAUCAGGUGAAAUAUAUUUUGCUUUCUGUUUUGACAAUUAUACCUUUAUAAUGACAAAUGGAAAUUUGGCAACUAUUAACUAUGACUAAUUUAACUUUUAUUGUGCAUGUUUGUUGAUGAGCCAGUGAUGAGGGAACGAGUUAUAAAGUACAUGUUAUUCAUUGAUUUUAUAUGUUCACUCUACAAUAUACAUUUUCUCUUUAUUUUAGUGA